UUUUAUUGUACUCUUGGGGUGUAACGAUACACAAAAAUCACGGUUUGGUACGUAUCUCGGUUUUGAGGUCAUGGUUUGGUUCAUUUUCGGUACAGUAUGGGAACAAAAUGCAAAACCUAAAUUUGCUUUUUUGAAAACAAAAACAUCGUGGGAGAG